UUAAUUAAAGCUUUUAUAUUGAAGCGGCUCAUUGUUACUGGGAAGAAGAGAAAACCUAAUUAAA
rnacentral:tRNA from 1 species